UACGGAGGGUGCAAGCGUUAAUCGGAAUUACUGGGCGUAAAGCGCACGCAGGUGGCUGAGUCAGUCGAUUGUGAAAGCCCUGGGCUUAACCUGGGAAUUGCAGUCGAUACUACUCAGCUAGAGUAUGGGAGAGGGUAGUGGAAUUCCCGGUGUAGCGGUGAAAUUCGUAGAUAUUGGGAAGAACACCGGUGGCGAAGGCGGCGCUCUGGACCGAGACUGACGCUGAGGCGCGAAAGCGUGGGGAGCAAACAGG
rnacentral:rRNA from 1 species